rnacentral:rRNA from 1 species
GUCUACAGCCAUACCACCCUGAACACUCUCGAUCUCGUCUGAUCUCAGAAGCUAAGCAGGGUUGGGCCUGGUUAGUACUUGGAUGGGAGAAAAAAGAAAAAAAGAAUCAUUAAUA